rnacentral:rRNA from 1 species
GACGGGAGAGACUAACAGGAUUCCCCUAGUAACUGCGAGUGAAGCGGGAAAAGCUCAAAUUUAAAAUCUGGCAGUCUCUGGCUGUCCGAGUUGUAAUCUAGAGAAGUAAUGCCCGUGCUGGACCGUGUAUAAGUCUCCUGGGAUGGGGCGUCAUAGAGGGUGAGAAUCCCGUCUUUGACACGGACUACCAGUGCAUUGUGGUAUGCUCUCAAAGAGUCGAGUUGUUUGGGAAUGCAGCUCAAAAUGGGUGGUAAAUUCCAUCUAAAGCUAAAUAUUGGCGAGAGACCGAUAGCGAACAAGUACCGUGAGGGAAAGAUGAAAAGAACUUUGGAAAGAGAGUUAAACAGUACGUGAAAUUGCUGAAAGGGAAACGCUUGAAGUCAGUCGCAUUGGCCGGGAAUCAGCCUUGCUUUUGCAUGGUGUACUUUCUGGUUGAUGGGUCAGCAUCAAUUUUGACCGCUGGAAAAAGGCCUGGGGAAUGUGGCAGCUUCGGCUGUGUUAUAGCCCCUAGUUGCAUACAGUGGUUGGGAUUGAGGAACUCAGCACGCCGCAAGGCCGGGUUUCGACCACGUUCGUGCUUAGGAUGCUGGCAUAAUGGCUUUAAGCGACCCGUCUUGAAACACGGACCAAGGAGUCUAACAUGCCUGCGAGUAUUUGGGUGGAAAACUCAAGUGCGUAAUGAAAGUGAAAGUUGAGAUCCCUGUCGUGGGGAGCAUCGACGCCCGGACCAGAACUUUUGGGACGGAUCCGCGGUGGAGCAUGUAUGUUGGGACCCGAAAGAUGGUGAACUAUGCCUGAAUAGGGUGAAGCCAGAGGAAACUCUGGUGGAGGCUCGUAGCGAUUCUGACGUGCAAAUCGAUCGUCAAAUUUGGGUAUAGGGGCGAAAGACUAAUCGAACCAUCUUUUCCUU